rnacentral:rRNA from 1 species
ACAGCAGCCGCCGCGGGAAUACGUAGGGUCCGAGCGUUGUCCGGAAUUAUUGGGCGUAAAGGGCUCGUAGGCGGUUUGUUGCGUCGGGAGUGAAAACCUACAGCUUAACUGUGGGCUUGCUUUCGAUACGGGCAGACUUGAGGCAUUCAGGGGAGAACGGAAUUCCUGGUGUAGCGGUGAAAUGCGCAGAUAUCAGGAGGAACACCGGUGGCGAAGGCGGUUCUCUGGGAAUGUUCUGACGCUGAGGCACGAAGGCCAGGGGAGCAAACGGGAUUAGAUACCCCAGUAGUCCCUGUCUCUUAUAC